rnacentral:rRNA from 1 species
UUUUGAAAAUAAUAAAAAGUCUAAUCUGCCCACUGAAUUUAUUUAAAGGGCUGCAGUAUAUUGACUGUACAAAGGUAGCAUAAUCAAUAGUCUUUUAAUUGAAGACUUGUAUGAAUGAUUUGAUGAAAUAUGAACUGUCUCUUUUUUAAAAAUAAAAUUUAAUUUUUUAGUUAAAAAGCUAAAAUAAUUAUAAAAGACGAGAAGACCCUAUAGAGUUUUAUAGUUAUUUAAUUUAAAAAUUUUAUAUAUAAUUUAAAUUUAAAAUUAAUUAAUUAUUUUAUUGGGGUGAUAGAAAAAUUAAAAAAACUUUUUUUUUAAAAUUUAACAUUAAUUUAUGAAAUUAUGAUCCAUAAUUUAUGAUUAAAAGAAUCAAUUACCUUAGGGAUAACAGCGUAAUUUUUUUUUUUAGUACAAAUAAGAAAAAGAGUUUGCGACCUCGAUGUUGGAUUAAGAUAAAAUUUAAAUGCAAAAGUUUAAAAUUUUUGAUCUGUUCGAUCAUUAAAAUCUUACAUG